rnacentral:lncRNA from 1 species
AUUGUUGGUACUUGGGGCCGGAUUGCAGGGACCCUCUUGGCACCCGGUGCCACAGUAGUCGUCGCCUGUGCCACAGUACCCCCAUCUGCUGCAGCAAAGGUCUGCGGCACAGCCACAGUCCUGACCCACCACCCCUCUAGGCAGUGCUCCAGCCAAAAUUCCGGCAAGGAGGACAGUCAAUGAGAGGUUCCUCAGGGCGAGGGAUGCCAUUUUGGAAGGAUAUAACAGAAAUGUGUGAUCUGAAUACAGAGUCUGAAACUAGAAUGGUUUAUUUAUAGUGCAGAAGAGGAAAAUUGCUGGGUCAAGCAGCACUAAAGUAUCGGAGAUUAAUGUCGGCCAUAAAGAUUUCUAGAGGGCGUAAAACUUUGACCUUGCUGUAGAUUUUUGAUUAAUCAGACUUCUGACUUCAGAAAUGUCAGGAUUGGUUCUACUUGCAUGUAUGUUUCAAAAGCCUGAUUAGAUUAGAUUAGGAAGAUUGUUAAAUGUUUUUGAUAUCAAUAUGAUUACCGACUUUUUUUUGGGGUUUAGUUUUUGUUUUAUGUGUUUGUAACGGUUGUCUGAUAAAAGCUAGGCUUUGUUUGAAUCCUGAAAUAUAUUAAAUAUAUUAAUUCAACGAUUUUAAUUAUUGAAAAUAAGAAAAGAAAGAAAUUGGUGGUCUAGAUUGAUAGUGGAAGUCAAUGGAAUUAAAGUGAUUUGGAUGCCAACUAUCAAAGAAUUGACUUCUUUGGGUAGGUGAUGUGAUUUGGAUGCCAACUAUCUAGGAAUUGGAUCUCUUUGGAUAGGUGAUUUUGCACUUUCAUUGGAUUGAGUAGACUUUUCAUUCAAUCAUUUUUGUGAUCCACACAAAAUAUUGAAAAUAAAGUUCAACACCCUAGUUGUUAAGGAAAAAAAAGUGAUAAUUAGAAAUUAUUCAAAAAAAAAAAAAAAAAAACAAAGAAAAAGGAAAAGAAAGAAAAAUAAUUAGUUUGGGUUUAUUUCAUUUUUUUUAACAAAAAGGAAUAAUUAAAAAAAAAAAAAACAACUGAAAAAUUCAAACGAAAUUGAAAUGCAGAGGUUCAGUUAUCAAAGUUUCAUUUGAAAGGGAAUCAACUUUUACUUUUAUUUAUUUAUUUUUUCAAUUAUUUAGAAUUCAUAUAUCUCCAAAAUUUUCUUAUACCAUCAAUGAGUAGGUAGGGGCAUAAUUUGGGUGGGUUCAGGAGGAUAAGCUUGCGAGGGAAAUAGUUAAUAUUUGGGCUGGGCCGAGUUAAACAUAAGGGGCGGUUUUGGAUUUGGUCUUCGGACUUAGCCCACUUGCUUGGGCUCGGUCCUGGGAUUUUGUGCUUCACCUAUUUUAUUUUUAUUUUUAAUUUUGUAAAUAGUAUGCAAAAUAUUCGUGUAAAUAAAAAACAAUGUGAUGUGUUAGGGUUUGAAUUCAAAAUUCAAGCGAGAAAAACUCUUCUAUAAAAGCCUUUACAAGGCAGAAAAACUGAGGGUGAGUAAUCUAGAGAGAAAGUAAUCAAUGUCAAUUCUUUUGUGAGACAUUGGUUUUCUGACUUGUGAAAAUUUACCAAGUGUUGGAACAACAGUAAAGAAUAAUUUUGUAAUCCUUAUUGAAUAAUAAUACAAGUUGUGAAGGAUUCACUUUUGUUGGAGUGUUUGGGAAGGUUAAGACGGGUCCUUAGUCUCACUUAGAGGAAAAAAAUUGGUGGCUAUUUCCUUGUCACACCCACCAAAAUAGCUACAAAUUGGUAGAGGCACAUGAAGUGGCCCAAAUGAAUAAAUUUUUAAAAUAUUUUUGUAAAACAUUCCUUUACAUUUGGUUAUAAUGGAAAAAAAUGGUAGAAAAGAAGAAAGGAAGGAAAUACUAAAAGAUUUUUCUCAUCAUUUCCUUGCAAAAAUGGUAGAAAAGUUUGAAAAAAAGUGCAUUCUUCCUAAUUUUCAUAUUUGAAUUUCCAAAAGUUUUAUUCCAUCACACCCACAGCUCAGAGCCAGUGCCAUCUCGGGUAGAGCUCCGGCGAGGAGGAUUGCAGCUGGGGUGGCUGCCAUUUUUGUUGGUUUGGAUGAAAAUGAUGAUAGAGAGAAAAAAAAGAAAAGAAAAAAGAAACCCUGUUGGCUAGUUGAUCAUCCCAUGACUGUUAGGUUUAUUGACUUUGACUUGUCCAAAAGGAUUGGAACUUUUUUUUUUGUUUUUUGGCUUUAAAUUAUAAUAAUGAAUUUUUUUUUUUUUAAAAAACUGUCUUGUAUCAUUUAAUAUUCUAAUAGUGAUCUACCAUUCAAUAAAUGAUUUAUUAAAUAGACUCUUACAGUGAUUUAAAUUUUAGAAGUACAAAAAUUUAUUAUCUCUUAGGGAAUAUUUUAUUAUUUUGUAAAUUAUUAUUGGUGUGUUUGGGUUAUUUUUUUCAUAGCUUAUCUCUUGUUACUUAUUCAUGUAGCAACAAUCCGAUUAUGGCUAAAGACACAACAUAAUAAACCCGUAAAAGGAAGGUUUCAUAGGAUAAACUCUUUAUAGCCUUUUGGGUUACACGUUAUUAAGCUUAGGUACUUUGGUCCAAACCCUAGCAAUUAACAUUGCUACCAGGGGAAACACCAAAUUGAUUGCAAUAGUCCUUGUAAUACUUGACACGUGCAUUGACAGCGCCACUGUUUCCUCCAUUGCAUUCCAUACCAUUGAUGGCUCGAAUUGUUGCACCGAACCCUUAGUUCAUGAUGGAGUGCACAUUAUUCAUCCAAAACCAAAAGGCUGUCUUGAAUGACACAACUGCAUCAUUAGCCACAAGCCAUCGAACCCUAUGCUCUUUCCUGCUGGUCCAUAGUUGUAGUUCCAUGAUAUUUGAAUCGGCCCACGCCCAUAGUAACCCUUUCCACGUACACAUGGAUAUUGUUUGUUGCCUUCAUCACAAUAGUCCUUGGAGGGACCAUCUAUUUCCUCAAUGUAACAGAAGUCUGCACAUACCAAAAUUUCAUGCUUUAAUGUUACAUGCGAUCCAAAAAUAAGUUUAACGAUCUUCAAAUAGUUGUAAUUUAAGGUUUGAAUUCAAGGCUUUUCUAGAUGUAAAAUCUUACGUCCGUGACGUGAGCAAAGAAUGCUGCGAUCUCACGCUUAGAGUCGUCCUUGGAACCACCCUGCCCAAACUGAGGAUACGACUUGAGAGCAUCAAGAAAGGCGCGGCGUGUGUAGAAGUUUUCCCGGCGCAGCUCGCAUCCGCUUGAUUACGAAUUCCAUUGAAGAAAUUCGUAGUCACAACAUCUGCGACCGAAACACCACUCCCACCACCACCUCCACCGCUAGGCGAUGAAUAGCAAGGACCGGCUUGGCAGCCGGUGCCGCAGUAGUCAUUGCCGGUGCCGCAGUACCCAUAUUGGCUGCAGCACAGGCCAGCGUUACAGCCGCAGUUCUGAGCCAGCACGGGCCCCAGAAGGGCUCCGGCGAGGACUCCGACGAUAAGGAUUGCUACCAGCUUUGCAACCAUGUCUGGAGGAGGAAAAGAAUGAAACCUUGGUGGGGUUUUUAUAGAGUUAUAUUACUCAUGAGUACGUCACGACAAAAUUUAAGGAAACUGACGGCCUUUAAAUUCACUUUUGAAUAUGUAAUUGGGUGAGGAAAUUAAUUAAACUCAAUCCCCUGUCUGGAAAUGGUGCUUGUAAAAUAUGAUUUAUAGACUGUUUUAAGGUGAUUUUAAGAGGGUUAGAAGUGUUUGAAAAUAUUUUUAUUGGAAAAUUUUGUGUCUAACGAAGUUAAAAAAAAUUAAAAUUCAUUUGAAGUGAUUUUUGGAGAACAUUGUUACAUUUUUUUUUUCUUUUUGUUAUGAUUUACAUUAGCAACAAAGUUUUGUAAAUGUUGAGGUUUAUAUCCAGAUAUUAAAUUUUUUAAGAAAAAUGUUUUCAAUGAAAGUUAUUGAAAUAAACAUUAUGAAUUAAAAACACUUUUAAAAGAAUCACUAUCAGAUAGGGCUUUUAAAACUUGUUAAGCGAAUUUAAGAAAUGUUUUUAGUCUUUUUAAUACAUGAAAACAAUUUUUUUGAUAAAAUUUUGUAAAAUUUUUUUGUGUCACUACUAAACGGAUUUUUAAAAUAUAUUUGAUAAUAUUUUUAGAAAACACUUUCAACAUAAAAAAUGUUUUUGAAAAAUAAUAUGACUAUUUGAUAAAAUUAGCAAAACACCCUUAAAAAGUUGAAAAAUUACUUGAAAGAAAACAUUUGAUUAAUUAAUCUUUAAAUAAAAUAAAAGGAUAUUUUUUCACAAUAUUAUAUACAUAUAUAUAUUCAGUAAAUAAAUAAAAAUGACCUAAAAUUUUAUCCAGCACUAUUUCAAGCAUUAGAAAUUAGUUCUAACCUUGGCAUUCUUCUUUCCCAACCCUAAGAGCAAAUUGAAUUUGGUGUUAAAUGUGUGGAAUUUUUUGAUAAUGUGAAUGAGGAUUUUGGAGUGAACUUUGUACAACACAUGAAUUCUGUUUCCACUCUGUGAUGCAAUAAAGCUUGGUCCAGCCAUAACAAACCCCACGAGAGAAUGCAUGCAUAUUUUUGGUACACAAACUUGUUUCUAUUGGUGAAAAAAGUAAGGGAAAGUUCCAAUUAUCUUUUAUCAUUUAAUAUCCAAAGUCAUUUACUAUUGAAUAAAUGGUUCAGUAAAUAGACUUUUGCAGUGAUUUUAAUACUAGAUGUACAAAGCCUUAAUUGUUCAUCGCAGAUUUUAUUUUAUUUUUUUAGUAUACUAUGCAUGUAAUACCAAUAUUUAUUUGUAAAUAUAUAUAUAAAGUUUUAUAAUAUGUUAUCAUUAUUUAUUCCUGGUAAAUGGAAGAGUUGUGAUUAGAAUACAAAUCAUUUUCUAAACUAUUACUUGGGUUAUGUUUGGUUUUUGGAAAAUUCAAGUGAAAAUGUAAAAGAAAUAAAAUAAAAAGAAAAAUAACAAAUAGAGUUAAAGUUAGAUAAAUUAUUUUUAUUUGUUACUUCAAGCUCAAAUUAUUUAUUUUAAUUUAUCAAUAUAAAGAUUAAAUAAUUUAAAAAUACAUAAAAUUUUAACUAAUUUUAAUUAUAUUUAAUUUUCUUUAAAAUUUUUCAUAAUAUAAUCAAACAUAAAAAAGUUAUUUUUUUUUAAGAAUUGAACAUAACCUUCAUGUUUAGUUUAAUAUAAUUUUUGGAUAUAUUUUUUUAUAAAUUAUCUUUUAUUAUUGAUUGUGCAGCAAUUAAAAUUACUAGUACGUCGCAACAGAAUUCAAGGAAACUAAUGGCUUUAAAUUCACUUUUGAAUCUGCAAUGGGACUGGGAAUUAAAGUCAUAUAUAUAGAUUUUACAUAUAAAUUUUAAGGCUAUGAUGGGUUCCGGAAAAUAUUAAGGAAAUAAAAUUUUUUCAUAGUCCUUUUUAAUAUAUUACAUAAAAUAAUAAAUUAAGAGCACAAUUAAUCAAAGAAAGCCUAGAUCACAGCCACAGCCACAGCUCAGACCCAGUAUCAGUCCGGCAGAGCUCCGGCGAGAACUCCAGUGAGGAGAUUGGUACUGAAUUUUGGAUUGUAGCUGGGGUGGUUGCCAUUUUUGUUUUUGGUAUGGAUGAAAAUAAUUAGAGGAAAAAAAAGUGUAUGUAUGAUGGAUAUUGAUCACUCUAUUGUCAAGGUAUAUUGACUUUGACUUGCAAAGGGCUGAGAUUUUUUUUUUCUUUUCUUUUUUAGUAAAUUAUUAUUAUUAUUAUUUUAAUUUUAAAAUUUUAUUUUAGGCUAUGCUUGUUCAUGAAAGUUUGAAGAAAAAUGUGAGGGAAAAAAAUAGAAAAAAAAAAAAAAAGAAUUUAAAAUUAAUAAAUCAUAUUUAUAUAUUACUUCAAAUUUUUUAUUUUUUUAUUUUAUGAAUUUAACUCUUUCAUAUAGAUUAAUCAUUUAUAAAUUUACAAUUUUCUUAAUAAUUUUAAUUGUAUUUAACAUUUUUUUGUAUUUUUUUUUUACUGUAAAACAAAACAUAAGAAAAUAAUUUUCUUUUAAUAUUUUUUUUCUUUUUUUUACUGUUUUCGGAACUAAAUAUAGUCUUAGUGAAACAAGAAAGGGAAAACUUGAAUUGUGUUUUGUCAUUUAAUGUCGAAAGUCAUUUACUACUCAAUAAAUGAUUUAUUGAAUAGACUUAUGUAGUGAUUUUAAUUCUAGAUGUAGAAACAUUUAUUAUCCAUUAGAGGAUGUUUUCUUUUCGAUAUAUCAUUCAAAGUAAAUGGAAGAAUUGUGCUUAGAAUAUAAAUAAUUUUCUAAAUAAUCAUUUUCAUGUUUGGUUUAUUUAUUUUUUUCAUAAAUUAUUUCUUAUUUUUCAUUCAUGUUGCAACCUUGCUAAAAACUACUACAUAAUACAACCCUAAAAAGGAGAGUUUCAUACUGAAAACUCUUUAUAUCCUUUUGGGUCACAUGUUAUUAAAUCUAAGUGCUUCGAUGAAACUUUUCCUAGCAAGAAAUAUUGUCACCAGGGGAAACACCAAAUUGAUUGCAGUAGUCUCUGAAAUACCCGACACGUGCGUUGACGGCACCGCUGUUUCCUCCAUUGCAUUCCAUGCUAUUGAUGGCUCGGAUCGUUGCACCAAACCCUUGGCUUACGACAGAGUGUACAUUAUUCAUCCAAAACCAAAGGGCUGUUUUGAAUGAAACAACUGCAUCAUUAGCCACAGUUUCAGGAUUAUUCAAGCCGUUGAACCCUAUGCUCUCUCCUGCUGGUCCGUAAUUAUAGUUCCAUGAUAGCUGAAUCGGCCCACGACCAUAGUAACCCUUCCCAGGCACACAAGGAUAUCGAGUGUUGCUCUCAUCACAAUAGUCCUUGGAUGGACCAUCUAUUUCCUCAAUGUAGCAAAAGUCUGCACAUUGAUAAAAUUUCUCUAAAUCAUCAAACCAAAAAAAACUUCAAAUAGUUGAAAUUCAAGGCUUUACUAGCAUAAAAUCUUACGUCCAGUCUCGUGGGUGACAUGAGCAAAGAAAGCAGCGAUCUCGCGCUUAGAGUCGUCAGCAGAGCCACCCUGGCCAAACUGAGGGUACGAAUUGAGAGCAUCAAGGAAGGCGCGACGCGUGUAGAAGUUCUUCCCGGCGCAGCUCGCGUCAGCUUGGUUAAGAAUCCCAUUGAAGAACCCGUUCGUCACAACAUCUGCGACCGAAACACCACUCCCACCACCACCUCCACCACUAGGCGGUGAAUAGCAAGGACCGGCUUGGCAGCCGGUGCCGCAGUAGUCAUUGCCGGUGCCGCAGUACCCAUAUUGGCUGCAGCAGAGGCCAGCGUCACAGCCGCAGUUCUGAGCCAGCACCGGCCCUGGAAGGGCUCCGGCGAGGACUCCGACGAUAAGGAUUGCUACCAGCUUUGCAACCAUGCCUUGAGAGGAAAAGAAUGAAGAGAAGGAUGUGAGAAAUGGGAUGAUAAGGUUGAGAGCUUGGUGGGGUUUUUAUAGAGGUAUAUUAAUAAUAAGUACGUCACAACAAAAUUUAAGAGGGUUAGAAGCUGUUCAAAGUAUUUGAAAGUGUAAAAAAAAAAAAAAAAAAAAAAUCAUUUCUAGUGAUUUUUGGAGCAACAUUGUUACAAAAAUAACUUACUCUUUUUUUUUUUCUUUUUAUGUUGUUGUUGUGAUUUACAUUAGCAACAAAGUUUUGGAAAUGCCCAGGUUUAUAUCCAAAUAUUAACUAUUUCCUAAGAAAAAUAUUUCCGAUAAAAGUUACUAAAAUAUAUAUCACAAACUAAAAAUAUUAGGGCUUUAGAACUUGUUCAAUGAAUUUGUGAAACUUUUUAAACUUUUUUUAACACUCAAAAUAGCAUUUUUGAUAAAAUCUUAUAAAAUUUUUUAGUAUUAUUGUCAAACAGAUUUUUAGAAUAGGUUUUGUACAUAGCACUUUUAGAAAACAUUUUAAAUAUAAAAAUAUUUUGUAAAAGUAAUACAAUGUUUAACAAAAUCAACAAAACACUCUUAAAAAGUUGAAAAGUCACUUGGAAAGAAAAUAUUUGAUUAAUUAAUGUUUAAAUAAAAUAAUAAUAAUUUUUUUGUAAUGUAUUUUAUAAUAUAUUCAGUAAAUAAAUAAAAAUGACUUCUAAAAUUUUCUCCUACACUGUUUCAAGCAUUAGAAAUUAGUUCUUACCCUGGCAUCGCUCUCUCCCAAACCUAAGAGCAAAUUGAAUUUUGGUGUUAAAUGUAUGGGAUUUUUUGAUAGUGUGAAUGAGGAUUUUGGAGUCAACUUUGUACAACAUGAAUUCUGUUACCACACUGUGAUGCAAUAAAGCUUGGGCCAGCCAUAACAAACCCCACAAGAGGACAGCAGUCCCCCACUAGAUGUACAUUGACUAUUGAGGGGUUUGGGUCCAAUCUUGGCUCUGUGUAUAUAUAUAUAUAUAUAUUCUGUUAUAUGUAGUGAAUAAUUGAUUGAGAGAUGUAAUUUUCACUUAAUUUUCCUUUUUUGCUUUCAUGAAAAUAAAAUUAUCAAAUAUCAUUUCAAUUAUUGGACUAGCCAAACAGUACUAUUAAAAUUGCACCCUUUUUAAAGUGAUAGGAUUUGAAUUUUAAAUUUUGAAAUAAUUUGGUGAAGAAAAUUGGGUAUGAAUUCUACUUAUUUGAUUAGUUCAUAAAAAGCCUAUUAAUUUGUGGAUAAUUAUUAAGAGUUAUAAUUCAAAAGAAAAGCUAAAUUGAUGUCUUUUUGACUUUGAAGUUAAUUAAUUAAUACCAUUUUCGCCUUUACUACUUUUAAGUCAAAUAAUUGACAUUAAUGAUGCAACAUCACAUAUGUGAAAAUCAUUAAAGAAAAAAAAUCUAUAUGUGAUGCAUAUUACUUGAUUGUUAAGCUAUAUUGACUAUGACUUCGAAAGGGUUGAGAACUUUUUAUUUAUUAUUAUUUUUUAUUUUUUAAAUAAAUUAUUAUCAUUAUUUUCAAUUUUCAAAAUUUGUUUAGUAAAAAACUAAGGGAAAAUUUGAAUUGUCUUUUAUCAUUUAAUAUCCAAAGUCAUUUACUAUUCAAUAAAUGAUUUAGUAAAUAGACUUUUACAACGAUUUUAAUACUAGAUGUACAAAGACUUAAUUGUGCAUUGGAGAAUUUUUUUUUUUUCAGUAUGCUAUGCAUAUAACACCGAUAUAUAUAUAUAUAUAUAUAUAUAUAUAUAUAUAUAUAUAUAUAAAGUUUUAUAAUAUGUUAUUAUUAUUAUUUAUUCCUGGUAAAUGGAAGAGUUGUGAUUAGAAUAAAAUCAUUUUUUAAACUAUUAUUUAGGUUAUAUUUGGUUCUUGAAAAAUUUAAGUGAAAAUGUAAGGAAAAAAAAUAGAGAGAAAAAUAAAAAAUAUAGUUAAAAUAGAUAAAUUAUUUUUAUUUGCUACUUCAAGCUCAAAUUAUUUAUUUUAAUUUAUCAAUAUAAAAAUUAAAUAAUUUGAAAAUACAUAAGUUUUUAAUUAAUAUUAAUUAUAUUUAAUUUUCUUUGAAAUUUUUCAUAACAUAAACAUAAGAAAAUUAUUUUUUUUUAAUAUUUAUUUUAUUUUCUUAAUACUUUUCGAGAACCAAAUAUAACCUUAAUGUUUAGUUUAAUAUAAUUUUUGGAUAUAUUUUUUUAUAAGUUAUCUUUUAUUAUUGAUUCGUGCCGCAAUAAUCCGAUGAUACAACCUAGAUCAUUGCUAAAAACUAUGACAUAAUAAAACCCUAGAAAGGAGAGUUUCAUACUAUAAACUCUUUAUAUCCUUUUGGGUCACAUAUUAUUAAACUGAAGUACUUAGAUGAAACUUUUCCAAGCCCUAGCAAGGAAGAUUGUCACCAGGGAAAACACCAAGUUGAUUGCAGUAGUCCUCGUAAUACUCGACACGUGCGCUGACAGCAUCUCUGUUUCCUCCAUUGCACUCUGCGCCAUUGAUGGCAUGGAUCGUUGCACUAAACCCUCUGUUUACGAUAUCAUGCACAUUUUUCAUCCAAAACCAAAAGGCUGUUUUGAAUGAAAUAACUGGAUCAUUGGCCACAAUUUCAGGAUUGUUUGAGCCAUUGAACCCUAUGCUCUCUCCUGCUGGUCCAUAAUUAAAGUUCCACGUUAUCUGAAGGGGACCACGACCAUAAUAACCCUUCCCAGGCACACAAGGAUAUCGUGUAUCCUCAACACAGUAGUUCUUAGAGGGACCAUCAAUUUCCUCUAUGUAACAAAAGCCUACACGCAUAUUAUUUAGUUUAGGAAGCUUGAAUGGCUGAAAUUUAAGGCUUAAUUUAUUUGUAUAGAAGUUCAAAUAGUUGAAAUGUAAGGCUUCAGCUAUAUAAGAUCUUACAUCCAGUCUCGUGGGUGGCAUGAGCAAAGAAAGCAGCGAUCUCACGCUUAGAGUCAUUAGCAUAACCACCCUGGCCAAACUCAGGGUACGAGUUGAGAGCAUCAAGGAAGGCGCGGCGCGUGUAGAAGUUCUUCCCGGUGCAGCUCGCAUCUACUUGGUUAAUAAUCCCAUCGAAGAAAUCCUCCGUCACAACAUCUUCGACCGAAAUACAACCCCCAUCACCUCCACCACUAGGCGGUGAAUAGCAAGGACCGGCUUGGCAGCCGUCGCCACAGUAUCUAACGCCGGUGCCGCAGAACCCAAAUUGGCUGCAACACAGGCCAGCGUUGCAGCUGUAGUUCUGAGCCAGCACCGGCCACGGGAGGGCUCCGGCGAGGACUCCGACAAUGAGGAUUGCUACCAGCUUUGAAACCAUGUCUGGAGAGGAGAAGAAUGUGAGAAAUGGGAUGAUAAGGUUGAAACCUUGGUGGGGUUUUUGUAGAGUUAUAUUACCAGUGCGUCAGAAAAAAAUUGAAGGAAACCGAUGGCUUUAAAUUCACUUUUGAAUCUGUAAUGGGAUGCAGGAAUUAAACUCAUUCUAUAUAUGUUAUGACUCAUUUAGAAAUGAAGCUCGUAAAUAUGGUUUCACAGUUGGUUUUCAAGUGAUUUUGAGAAGGUUAGAAGCACUUCUUAACCUUUAGAGAUAUGCAAAUGUUAUGGGUAUGUUUUGGUAACUAUUUUUGGAAACAGUUUUAGGAAUAAAUGUUUUUAUAUGUAGUUUAUUAUUUUUAUUUGUAUAAUUAUUUUUUUAAAACAUCCUUCAAAAAAGAGUGACAACAAUUAAAAGAUAUUUUAUAAAAACAUUGUUUUUUAUUUUUAAGAAGAGAAAACUAUUUUUGCGUUGCUAAAUUAUAUUUUAAAGUAGUUAUCAACAAACCCUAAGUAUCUAACAAAGUUUUAAAACCUGUAUAAAUCAUUUGAACAAAAUUUCAAAAUAAUAUUAUUAGGUUGCUCCACUAAGAUAAUUUUUCUAUCAGCAAAAAUAUUUUCAAAUUCUUAAGUUUAUAUUCAAACAUUGAUUGCCAUUUCAUAAAACUGUCUUUGAUAGAACUUAAAAACGCUUUUAGAAGAGUCACUUUCAAAGGAAGCUUUAAUUUGUAAUAUUUUAGAAACAAUGCUUAUUUUAGAAACACUUUCAGGAAACUUUAGUUAGAACCCGUUAAUAACGUUUUUAAAAAACAUUUCUAACCCAAAAUUGAAGAAAAAUCACACAUAUAAUACCAUUUAGAUAUUUUUUUUUUAAAAGCUAAAAAAUCACUUAAAGUGCUUUUUUGGUGAAACAUUAAUUUGAUAUGUGAUUAUUUCAAAAGCACUUUUGAAAAAAAAAAAUAUUCCCACUAAAAAUGUUUUGAAGAGAAAUAUUGUUAAACAUGCUCUUAAAUAAAAUGACUUUUAAAAUUGUAUAUCCCUCCCUCCCAACCCUAUGAGCAAACUGAAUUUUGGUGCUAAAUGUAUGGAAUUUUUUUGAUAAUGCAAUGAGGAUUUUGGAGUCAACUUUGUCCGACACAAUUUUUUUCCCACACUGUCGUACAACAAAGCUUGGUCCGGCCAUCACAAACCCCACAACAGGACUCCAUAUAUAGUGGAGCAGCCCCACUAGAUGUACAUUGGCUCCCAUCUUGGCUUAGUAUGACUGGAUGGAUAUAUUCUGUUAUGUAUUAGCUGAUGAUUCAUAAAAUUAAAUUGUUGACUCAUUUUCUAGAUGUUUAAAUUUUGUUGUUUGAUAUGUAAGAUUGAUAUUUGUAUUGAAUAAUUGAUUGAGAGGUAAAAGUCAAUUGAUUUUCACUUAAUUUCCCUUUUUUUUUUCUUUCAUAUUUAUGUAACUUAUGUCAAAUAUCAUUUCAAUUAUUGGACUAGCUAGACAAUAUUGAAAUUGCACCUUUUUUUUUAAAGUAAUGGAAUAAACAUUGCAAUACAACAAAUCGAGCAAUUUUACAAAUAUAUCAAAUUGGAAAAAGCAAUUUGGCAUCAUCUAACAAGAAGUUGAAGCUAAAUAUUCAGUCCGUAAAGAGAAUGAGACAAAAUUAAUUCUAUGUAAAGAAAAAUUUAGUCGGGACUAAUUUAUUUGUGUUGUUUAACACUGACAAAUUAUGAUUCUAAUAUGUCAUGUAUUAUCAAAUUCAUUAUAUAUGACAAAGUUUCAACAUACAAAAAUAACCUUCUGCAUCUGUUACUUAAAAUUUUGAACAAGUUCUAACUUACAACUGUUGCUGUGGCUAUCAUUGUAUAGUCAGCCCACCUCAAAUACUUCCUCAGUUUUCCUCUUGAAGAGUGGUAUAAACCUGAGGCAAUCCCAACUCCAAUUAAUGAAUUAGCAUACAACUUGCAGUUAAGAUUCUUCCUGUGCCAUAAGUAAAAGCAAGUAAUCAGAUGCAAGAAAUGAAUACUAGAUGGUAAUGGUGCUCAUUAUGGAAAAAAAAAAAAAAAACCUACCUUGGGGCUUGAAUUCCAAGAGCAAUAAAGGGAAGUGAAGUAAGAACAUUAGCAACUGUUUCCCCAAGACUCUCAUCGCCUAACAGAAGUGAGAAAAAAACUGUGAGUAAACAUAUAGUUUUGCUCAAGAAAUCGGAACCAAUGGAUAGGAAAAGAUGACAUAUCAAACAAGAAAAAGAAUUUGAUCUACAAUACCAUUUGACGUGCAUCAAAUCUAUUUGUUUGAAAAUAAUGAAAAGCAACGAAAUUCCACAUACCAUCUGAUUGAUGCUGAUCAGUCAUGAAAUUUUCUUGUGCUCUAGGACCUUAUAGUAACAAGGUUUGUAACCUUUUAAAUAGAAAUUAGUCAAAUGAUCAUAAAUUCAAGAACUUUGUUGGAAAAUGUUUAGAAUUCAUAAUUAGUAUAUGUUUAUUUUUAUUAAAAAAAUAUUAAUUGUAUAAGAUAUUUCCUAAUUAAAUUGACAUGUGAUUAAUAUAAUAUUAUUUUCUUUACAGAAUAAGGAAAGUUAGUAGUAAUAUAUCUAUAAAUACUUUAGUUCAUGGCUAAAAAAGAAGAUGAGAUAAAGAUAAGCUCAUGAAAAUUAUGCAUGGUAAAUAGAGAUGUGAGAAAAAGUACUAGACAAUAUCAAGUAAAAUGAGAUGAUUCAUAUUCAAGGUAAAGAUACAAAGAGUGGAAAAAUUAAUAACUUGUUUUAGAAUUCAAUAGUUAUAUUUGAUUUUUAUUCUUUAAAAUAUUCUUUAUAAUAUAAUAGAAUGUUUUCUUUCAUCUAUGAAUGUAAAACAUGAUUGACCGAACCAACUUCACAUAUCUUUCUAUGUAUAUUGUUUUAUUUUUCUAUUUUUGCGUUAAAUGUAUUGCUUACACAUCAAUUUUUUACAUAUAAAAGUAGAAUAUAAUAUAUAUAACUUGAAGUGUUAAGCAAGAUUGAAAUAUUUUUCCACACGAUAUGAUAUCAUAUUUUAGGGUUGGUAACAUAUGAAUCAAAGCAUGUGGUAAUAUAAGUGAUCCAAGUGUCAUACUCUAAGGGUAAACCCUAAAAAAUUGCUUCAAUAAGAUAUGAAGUAGAUAGAAAAAACCAACUGAUAAUAGGUCAUCAAUGAUGCCUUUGAUGUGCCAAAGGUAAUCAUGCAUAGAUAACAAAACUUUUUGAGACCUUUUGAUUAUGUGUCUUGAAUCGAUCAAUCUUUGCAUGAGUUUGAGCAAUAAAGGAAACCUCUAAUUUCUCCCAAAUCUGAAAAAAAAAAGAGAAAAAAGAGUCGAACACCCAACCAUUCUUGUCAAAAGUUCUUAAGACAUCGAUAAAAGUAGUCAUGAAACAACAAUUGGUCCUUCUCCUCCCAAUCAAAGUGAUCAUGAUUACUUUUACACCCGCUUCAUCCAUACAAGAAAGAAAUUUAGAAAAAACAUCAGAAUCAAUUCCAUUGAUGAACUUUGAAAGCUCGUGUCUUAUAUGAUGUGCCUAAGACACUUGUGGCCCAACAUCCCAAAGGGUAUGAUCCCUAAGACAUAGAAGAAAUUAAUAUUUAAGGAUUCAUCAGGUUUGGUGUCGAUUCAAUUUUUUUUGAAUAGACAGAACGUUCGCUCUCCCACUUCCCAUCACCAGAGAGAUUACAAAAAGGUGGUUUCCCCUCUAUCACCUUAGAAGCACCAUACUUCUUCAACACCCAUUAUGGAUUUAGGUAUGUCCACAUUCUCUAAAGGAAUCAACAUGUUUUCUUUAUAUGAUUUAACAUCAAAUUUCUGAUUUGGGGUGAUAAUGGAGUUCCAACAAUUGGUAUCAGAGCCAAAUGUUGAAUUAUUUAGAAAUGCUUGUUGAUUCAAAGAUACAUGAUUUUUUUCUCCCAUAUGGCAUUAAGCAAAGUUGACAAAUGAGAAUUUAUUAAUGUUAUGGCACGUGCGUUUAGGUCAUAUUUUAAAUCAAUGUAUUCAAAGGCUUGUGUCAAAAGGAAUUCUUAAUCCAUUUGAUUUGUUGAACUUUCAAGUUUGUAUAGAGUGUAUUAAGGGUAAACAAACAAAUGUGAAGAAAAAGGAUGCCAAUAGGUGCGGUGACGUUUUGGAAUGGAUACAUACGGAUGUGCAUCAAAUCUAUUUGUUUCAAAAUAAUGAAAAACAACGAUAUUCCACAUACCAUCUAAUUGACGCUGAUGAGUCAUGAAAUUUUCUUGUGCUCUAGGACCCUAUAGUAACAAGGUUUGUAACCUUUUAAAUAGAAAUUAGUCAAAUGAUCAUAAAUUCAAGAACUUUGUUGGAAAAUGUUUAGAAUUCAUAAUUAGUAUAUGUUUAUUUUUAUUUUAAAAAAAUAUUAAUUGUAUAAGAUAUUUCCUAAUUAAAUUGACAUGUGAUUAAUGUAAUAUUAAUUUUCUUUAUAGAAAGUUAUUAGUAAUAUAUCUAUAAAUACUUUAAUUCAUAGCUAAAAAGGAAGACGAGAUAAAGAUAAACUCAUGAAAAUUAUGCAUGGUAGAUAGAGAUGUGAGAAAAAAUACAAGAGGACACCAAGUGGAAUGAGAUGAUUGGGUAAAGAUACAAAGAGUGGAAAAAUUAAUGACGUGUUUUAGAAUCCAAUAUUUAUAUUUAAUUUUUAUUCUUUAAAAUAUUCUUUAUAAUAUAGUAUAAUGAUUUCUUUCAUAUAUGCUCUGUCCAGCCGGCCCGUAAUUGUAGUUCCAUGAUAUUUGAAGCGGUCCACGACCAUAGUAACCCUUUCCAGCUACACAUGGGUACUGUGUGUUGCUCUCAUCGCAAUAGUCCUUAGAGGCACCAUCUAUUUCUUCUAUGUAACAAAAGUCUACACACAAAAAAUAUCUUCAUUAGACAAAUCAUAUGUAAAAACAUUAUGUGAUAAAAAAUUCAAAUUAAUUUCAAAUAAUUGAAAUAUAAGGUUUUUUCAAUUAACGGGAUCGUGAUCUUACGUCCGGUCUCAUGCGCGACAUGAGCAAAGAAAGCAGCGAUUUCCCGCUUGGAGUCAUCUGCGGAGCCAUCCUGGCCAAACUGAGGGUACGAACUGGCAGCAUUAAGGAAGGCAUUACGUGAGUAGAAGUUCUUCCCGGCGCAACUCCCAGCAGCUUGACUAAUAAUCCCAUUGAAGAAAUCCUCCGUCACAACAUCAGAGACAGAAACACUACCUCCGGACGAAUAGCAAGGGCCUGCCUGGCACCCAGUCCCACAGAAGUCAUUCCCCGUCCCGCAAUACCCAUAUUGGCUGCAACACAGACCCGCGUCGCAGCGGCAGUUCUGGGCCAGCACGAAGGCAGGGAGGGCUCCGGCGAGGACCCCAACAAGAAGGAUUGCCACAAGCUUGAUAGCCAUAUCAAGAGAAGAAUGUGAGAAAUGGGAUGAUAAGGUGGAGACCUUGGUGGGGUAUUUAUAAACUUACAUAAAGCUACACUAUCAAUAGAAUUCAAAGAACCUGAUCAGUUCAACUUCAGUUUUUAAUUUUCCGUCGCGUGUAGUGUUAGAAAAACUGAUCAGUCUCUGCUUGACCAUGGCUAGAGAGUGAAUGUGUGUUUGUGAAGAUAAGACUGAGUUUUGGUGUCUAUAAAUAAAUGUAUGGAAUUUUGAUAAUGGAAUGAUUUGAUUAAGAAGAUUAUGGGUUCUUAAAAGCUAGGGUUUUGGAGUCAACUUUGUAUCAAGACUGCCUUGGUCCAUCCAUAUAUAAGUCUCCACACAAAACGACAUUCACAUAAGGUUAGAAACUACAGAAAAGGACACUGACAUAAUAUUUCAAUAAUGAGGGGUUUUCCAUCAAUCUCAAAUCCAAUAACUAUUUUGGAUUUGAGACAUGAAAUUUCAGAUCAAAGCUAAGUAUUUGUUUGUUUAUAUUAUUUUCUGUUUGUAUUUCUAAACAAAACAAAAUUCAUGUCUAGAAAUAUGGUUGGGUAGAGCCCUUUUUUUUUUUUUGAGAAAUUGAGUUCAAAAAAUGAAAAAAAAAAAAAAAAAAAACAUUGAUGGGGUGCUUUCAAAAACUUUUUAAAAAAGAGAUGAAAAUGGUUUGUAAAAACAACGAAAUAUUUAUAUGGGCCGCCCAUUAUUGAAGAACUUAAGGUAGAGUCAAGUCAAAACAUUUGGAACCAUUAAUCCAGGCACUUUUUAAGGAUAAAAGAAGUAUACAAUAUAACUUUGAAGGAUAGGUAAAAAAUUGGAAUGUUUUUCUGAAUUUGGAGGGGGCUACAUCAAUUGUAACAUUGCUGUUCAAAUGGAAGGAUCUAUGCGUUUAUGUUACAUGAAUUGAUCUUCCUUAGGCUCAUUACUUCUGUGGAUCUUUUGCAUACCCCAUCUAUGCAUGUUAUCUUCUAUACUUUUGUACUGCAUUUGGUAAUUGAUUUUCAGGUUACACUUGAUUGGUUCCAACACUUAAACCAAUUCUCAUUCACUCAUUUAAGAACCAACACAAAAAUAUAAAUCAGAACCCAACAAUAACCCAUUUUGACCAAUGCCAUAUUAGGUCUUACUUGUAAGAGCUGAUGGGUAGAUGGACAAACUCCAACUGAAGAACCCAGUGCCUUAAGAAGGAAGGGAAAGUUUGGUUUCAACAGUAGAGGCUGACCGUUAUAACACUCAUUCUGACCUUUUAGUAUGUUUGUUUAUGUCUGAACCAAUCUUGUAUAUAUUUGGGUUCUUAGCUUUCAUUCAUUAAUAUUUUAAUAUUUGACUGUUUUCAAUACUCUUCUUUUCAACAAAAGUCAUUGGCUAUGUUAUAGAAAAGCUACAAAAAUAUGCUAGGAGCCUUUAUUAUCUGUCUAAACUACAAACACUACAGCAUCUGGACAACCCUCAGUAGAGUUCCAUACCAUUUAUUUCCUUUUAGGUCAUAUCCUAGCAAGUGAGAUUAUCCCCAGGUGUGACACCUAGUUGAUUACAGUAUUCCGUGUAGUAUUCAACUCGGGCGUUGACAGUGGCUUGAUUUGCCCCAUCACAUUCCAGUGCACCACUAAUGGCUCGAAUGGUUGCCCCAAACCCUUGGCCUAUGACCGGUUGGACAAAGUUUACCCAGUACCACAAGGCUGUCUUAAAUGACACAACUGGGUCUGAUGCCACAGUUUCAGGAGAGUUCAAGCCAUCAAAUCCUAUGUCCUCUCCGGCAGGCCCGUAGUUGUAGUUCCAUGAUAGCUGAAUCGGUCCACGUCCAUAGUAACCCUUCCCAGCCACACAUGGAUACUGGGUGUUGGUCUCAUCACAGUAGUCCCUAGAGCUUCCAUUGAUCUCCUCUAUGUAGCAAAAAUCUGUACACACAAAGUUUUUAGUCAAUAUUUGUUGUUUCUAUUAGAGAAAGUACCAUACUAUGUCUCGAAAAAUGGGUUCAAAUCUUACGUCCAGUCUCGUGGGUGACAUGCGCAAAGAAAGCAGCGAUCUCACGCUUAGAAUCCUCCUCUGAACCAACCCUGCCAAACUGAGAAAAUGAGUUGAGAGCCUCAAGAAACCUCGCCCUUGAGUAGAAGUUCUUCCCUUCACAACUCGCAUCAGCUUGAUCAAUUAUCCCAUUGAAGAAUUCCUGUGUCACGAUAUCUGCAACCGAGACAUUAUUGGUACUUGGGGGCGGAUUGCAGGGACCCUCUUGGCACCCAGUGCCACAGUAGUCAUCGCCUGUGCCACAAUACCCCCAUCUGCUGCAGCAAAGGUCUGCGGCACAGCCACAGUCCUGACCUACCACCCCUCUAGGCAGUGCUCCGGCCAGAAUUCCGGCAAGGAGGACAGUCAAUGAGAGGUUCCUCAGGGUGAGGGAUGCCAUUUUUGAAGGAUAUAACAAAAAUG